GUUAAUGUAGCUUAUACAAAGCAAAGCACUGAAAAUGCCUUAGAU
rnacentral:tRNA from 1 species